UACGAGGGGGGCGAGCGUUGUUCGGAAUUACUGGGCAUAAAGGGUGCGUAGGUGGCUUGUUAAGUCAGGGGUGAAAGUUUUCGGCCCAACCGGAAAAUGGCCUUUGAUACUGGCGAGCUCGAGUGCGUGAGGGGUAACCGGAACGAGCAGUGUAGCGGUGAAAUGCGUAGAUAUUGCUCGGAAGGCCAACGGCGAAGGCAGGUUACUGGUGCGCAACUGACACUGAGGCACGAAAGCGUGGGGAGCAAACAGG
rnacentral:rRNA from 1 species